AUUCAAUGUCUGGAGCAAGCUUUCUGCACUCCACUGCCGGUGCUUUCUGGCUUCAAAAGCAGCUUCGAGACUGAGGAAUAGUAGGCAGGAUUAGAAUAAGGCCCGGGAGUUCUACAACUCUGCUGAAUUUAAAAGGACCAUGAUCUUGGUCAGCUAAACCACACCCGAUGGCCAAGGGGCAGAGGAAAAGAUGGCAGAGUAGAGACUCUUGGACUUACUCAUUUGGAUUUUGGAGUUUUACCUGACUUGGUCAAGCCUCAUGCCAGAUCCAGGCUGAGGAGGAAGAGGAAGAGGAGGGGUUGGUCUUGCUGUCUCAGGAGUGGCAGAAGCAGAAGAAAAUCCAAGUUGGUCAAAGGAAGAGGAGGAUCAAUGGCCUUUUUUCCUCCCCCCAACCUUUUUUUUUUUUUUUUUUUUUUUAAACAAAGAAGCAAAGUGAGAACAUUAAGCCCGAAAGAGAACUGUGUUCAUUGCAGGACUUUUUGAGGUCUGGUUAAGCCAUUUAUAUAAAGAAAUUACACAGUUCCUCUUUGGUAACCUCAAUCCUGAAAGUUAGUGUGACAGGCCUACAGCUUUUUGUUCU
rnacentral:lncRNA from 1 species